GCUGCAUGGCUGUCGUCAGCUCGUGUCGUGAGAUGUCGGGUUAAGUCCCUCAACGAGCGCAACCCCUGCCGCUAGUUGCCAUCGGUUCGGCCGGGCACUCUAGCGGGACUGCCGGACGUCAAGCCGGAGGAAGGUGGGAUGACGUCAAGUCAUCAUGGCCCUUAUGUCCAGGGCUACACACGUGCUACAAUGGCCGGCACAGCGGGAAGCGAGGGGGCGACCUUGAGCGGAUCCCUCAAAGCCGGUCUCAGUUCGGAUUGCAGUCUGCAACUCGACUGCAUGAAGUUGGAAUCGCUAGUAAUCGUGGAUCAGCCAAGCCGCGGUGAAUACGUUCCCGGGUCUU
rnacentral:rRNA from 1 species